rnacentral:rRNA from 1 species
UACGGAGGGUGCAAGCGUUAUCCGGAAUCACUGGGUUUAAAGGGUGCGUAGGCGGAUUAUUAAGUCAGUGGUGAAAUCUGGUCGCUUAACGAUCAAACUGCCAUUGAUACUGAUAGUCUUGAAUUGGGUUGAGGUUAGCGGAAUGUGACAUGUAGCGGUGAAAUGCGUAGAUAUGUCAUGGAACACCAAUUGCGAAGGCAGCUAGCUAGGCCUUGAUUGACGCUGAGGCACGAAAGCGUGGGUAGCGAACAGG